rnacentral:rRNA from 1 species
UGCCAGCAGCCGCGGUAAUACGGAGGGGGUUAGCGUUGUUCGGAAUUACUGGGCGUAAAGCGCACGUAGGCGGAUUAGUAAGUUAGGGGUGAAAUCCCGGGGCUCAACCCUGGAACUGCCUCCAAAACUAUCAGUCUAGAGUUCGAGAGAGGUGAGUGGAAUUCCAAGUGUAGAGGUGAAAUUCGUAGAUAUUUGGAGGAACACCAGUGGCGAAGGCGGCGACCUGGACCAAUACUGACGCUGAGGUGCGAAAGCGUGGGGAGCAAACAGGAUUAGAUA